rnacentral:rRNA from 1 species
GACGAACGCUGGCGGCGUGCCUAAUACAUGCAAGUAGAACGCUGAAGGAGGAGCUUGCUUCUCUGGAUGAGUUGCGAACGGGUGAGUAACGCGUAGGUAACCUGCCUGGUAGCGGGGGAUAACUAUUGGAAACGAUAGCUAAUACCGCAUAAUAGUAGAUGUUGCAUGACAUUUGCCUAAAAGGUGCAAUUGCAUCACUACCAGGUGGACCUGCGUUGUAUUAGCUAGUUGGUGGGGUAACGGCUCACCAAGGCGACGAUACAUAGCCGACCUGAGAGGGUGAUCGGCCACACUGGGACUGAGACACGGUCCAGACUCCUACGGGAGGCAGCAGUAGGGAAUCUUCGGCAAUGGACGGAAGUCUGACCGAGCAACGCCGCGUGAGUGAAGAAGGUUUUCGGAUCGUAAAGCUCUGUUGUAAGAGAAGAACGAGUGUGAGAGUGGAAAGUUCACACUGUGACGGUAUCUUACCAGAAAGGGACGGCUAACUACGUG